AGACUUAUUUGGCAAGGGAAAUACCGUGGUCAUGUAGGCAGUUUUCCUAGGGCAAGGCUCAGCAUUCCAUCCCAGAUCUGCUAACUCCUGAGGUUCCCCCAAAUGUGGGAAACUCAACUCCAUAUUUGUGGCAGUUGGGGAACAUGUUUGCGAUAUACAUGUA
ensembl:snRNA U1 U1 spliceosomal RNA